GCUGCAGAAAAGCUGCUCGGCAACAAAUCUUCAUGAAAGCAGGACUGAUCGUUAUGAGCAAGGACGAAGUGUGGACAGAGAAUUAAGGAGGCACUAACUGAAUUUGAGCCUGCUGAACAUACCUUCAACUUUAAAUUACCAUCCUAGAACUGAUCCAUCCACUCUAAGAGUAAUGAGUGCCACUUACUGUUGAGAAGAGAUGGGGUCCACCUAACCAAGAAGGGGAAGAGCAUCUUCAUGCACCCACUUGCCAACCUCAGUGAGGAAGGCUUUAAAGGAGAGGGAGGACCUAAGAACCUUAACCCUGUGGUAAAAGUGAAGUUAAAGGGGCCAGGAAGGAAGAUGCCCAGGGAAGCAGCAGCAACAAAUUGAAUCAAGCAGUAUGUGGCCACAGUUCAUAGGGUUCCUGGGUUGGAAACUGGAGUA